rnacentral:miRNA from 3 species
UCUAGUAAGAGUGGCAGUCGAAG